rnacentral:rRNA from 1 species
GACGAACGCUGGCGGCGUGCUUAACACAUGCAAGUCGAACGCGAAUUGGGGGCAACCCCAUAGUAGAGUGGCGCACGGGUGAGUAACACGUGGGUAAUCAACCCUUGGGUGGGGGAUAACGGCUCGAAAGGGCCGCUAAUCCCGCAUAAGACCACGGAGGCUUCGGCUUCUGGGGCCAAAGGAGCAAUCCGCCUGAGGACGAGCCCGCGUCCCAUCAGCUAGUUGGUGAGGUAACGGCCCACCAAGGCUGUGACGGGUAGCUGGUCUGAGAGGACGACCAGCCACACUGGGACUGACACACGGCCCAGACUCCUACGGGAGGCAGCAGUGAGGAAUAUUGGACAAUGGGCGAAAGCCUGAUCCAGCAACGCCGCGUGGGUGAUGAAGGCCUUCGGGUUGUAAAGCCCUGUCGAGGGGGACGAGAACGGACGGUACCCCUAAAGGAAGCACCGGCUAACUCCGUGCCAGCAGCCGCGGUAAUACGGAGGGUGCAAGCGUUGUCCGGAAUUACUGGGCGUAAAGCAGGUGCAGGCGGUUCGUUGUGUCGGGUGUGAAAUCCCAAGGCUUAACCUUG